GGCCCAUCGACACAAUAUGGUGGGUCGGGCCUGCCAGGUGACUGACGAGUUUAACGGCCGCAGUGAGUAUCUGUGCUAAGGUAGCGUAAUCAUUUGUCCUUUAAUUGGGGAAAGGAAUGAAUGGCUUGACGUAAGAAAUGCUUUUUUAAAAAUAAAAAAUUAAGUUUCCCUUUAUGUGAAAAGGCAUAAAUUAUAGUAAAAGACGAGAAGACCCCGUCGAGCUUGAUUAUUGAUAGGUUGAUUUAAUUUAUUAAGAAGUUUUGUUGGGAAAACAAAAAGCUAAGACUAACGCUUUUUUUGAGUGUAAGGAGCCAUUAUGAUUGAAGUAAGCAAAAGCUACCGCGGGGAUAACAGCGUAAUUUUUUUUGAGAGUUCUUAUUGAGAGAAGAGUUUGCGACCUCGAUGUUGGAUUAGGAUUUCUAUUUGCUUGUAGCAGGUAAAUAAGUGGGACUGUUCGUCCUUUAAAAUCUUACA
rnacentral:rRNA from 1 species